GGUUAGGAUUAAUCAAAACAAAAUAAUAGAAUAUAUAACACUAAUGUCAAAUAUUAGAUCCAAAUCAAUAUAUAAGAAUUAACCAAAGCAAUUAUCAAAAUCAAGAUAAAAAUUCUAAAAUCAAUCAAUAUCAAAGUGAAUAUCAAAUUAAAAUUCUAAAGUCAAACAAUAUUAAAGUUAAUAUCAAGUUAAUUCUAAAAUCAAAAUAAUAAUCAAAAUUAAAAUCCAAUCAAAAUUCUAAUAUCAAAACAAAUAUCAAUCAAGGCUAUGAAUCCAAAAAAACAAUGGAGAUUGGGUCUAAUCCAAUCCUAAGCCUAAGCAGAGGGGUGUACUGCAUUAGAGGGAGUGUGGUAAUAGACGCUGAAGGAUCGGACCUAAGGUCUAAUCAAUCCAAUACAGCAGCAACGGGAUGUACAUCCCUCAAGUUCAUCUUCCGGUGAGUGACUCCCAUUCGAAAGAAACGCGACACACACCUAAACGACUCCGUCGUGCCGGAGCUUAUCGCCGGCGACGGUGAAGCUCCUGAACGCCUCAUGCUCACCUCGUCACUACCGUCUCAAACUCUCAAUUCCAAAUCCUCAGACAAUAUCUCCUAAUUCCUCCCUAAACAUACGAACCGAAUCGAAAUCUCUCACGAGUCUCAAACAAAAAUUCACAAUCCGAUCCUCAUAUAAAGGUAAUAGAGUCUACAAGUUUGGUAUCAUCGCUCAUCUAAUCAAGUCCUAUAUAACGGUAACAAAUGCGAGUCAAAAAUAGGAGAGUUUAUAUGCACCUUCGACGUCGACGAUGAAGCACAGGGCGAACGGUGUUUGGAUAUUGUUCUGGUACGGAAUACUCGCUGCUCUUCUCUCCUAUUAUUCUUCCGCUUCAAUCUUCUUCGUUGCUUUUUUGCACUUAGGAUUUUGAUGCUCACGUGUUCCGAAUCAUCCGUGUGAUUGGUGAAAUCACGAAGCUUACUGAUGUAAUGUACGCCUCAGAAUGAACCUUGAAUUUCGAUAUGGAUAAAAGUAGCCAACAGACUCGUCGGAGAAGACGAUGGACGCAACGAUGGCGUCAACAAACGCGGCUCUCAGUGAGCUCUUGAGAUCGAAGGCGAGUGAAAUGCAAAAAAAGGUUGGGUGAUUUUGGUCUGAGUCUGAGAAGAACCGAGAGACUCAAUCUCCGACGACUAAUGGGCUUUAUAGGCUUGAAGCUCUUAACAGAGUUUAACUCUGUUAGAUUCACAGGGUUCAAGUUGGUUAGAGGUUACACAUCCGUUAGCUAGUCUGUUAAAUGGAAUUUGAAAUUGAAAAACAAUUAACUAGUUUUAACUUUGGUUAUUGGUAGGUUGUGGUGAACUGGUUCUGAUAGUAAUUUGAGGUAAUUAUUUGGAAUGCGAUUGUUAUUAUGUUGCUUUUUUGUUUUCAUUUCCGUUGCAUUUUGCUUAUGCGUUUCGCUUAUGAUGCUUGUGCGUUUGGAUUGCUGUUUCGCAACUCACGCUUUGCAGCUUGCUGCGUUUUGGUACUUGAUGCGUUUGGCUCGGCUUAAUGCAUUUGGAUGCAGUUGCUGUUUUGUUGUAGUUUUCAUGUAGUUCAUUUGGCUUGCUUUUUGCAACUUUUGCAAUGCCGUUUUGAUGCUGCUGCGGUUUACUGCUAUGCUUGUACUCUCGUUCACUGUUGCACCUGCUAUGGAUUCAUCACCUGAUUUAUUUUUA